rnacentral:tRNA from 1 species
UAUUAAAUUGGCAGAUUUUAUGUGGUUGAUUUAGGAUCAAUAGAGAUAGGUGUAAUUCCUAUAUUUAAUAA